UAGUAGCGGCGAGCGAAGCGGGAUGAGCUCAAAUUUGUAAUCUGGCAGCAAUGUCCGAGUUGUAAUCUAUAGAGUCGUUUUCGGUGCCGGACCGCGUCCAAGUCCCUUGGAACAGGGUAUCAAAGAGGGUGACAAUCCCGUACUUGACGUGACCACCGGGGCUGUGUGAUACGAUUUCUACGAGUCGAGUUGUUUGGGAAUGCAGCUCUAAAUGGGUGGUAAAUUCCAUCUAAAGCUAAAUAUUGGCGAGAGACCGAUAGCGAACAAGUACCGUGAGGGAAAGAUGAAAAGCACUUUGGAAAGAGAGUUAAAAGUACGUGAAAUUGUUGAAAGGGAAACGAUUGAAGUCAGUCGUGCGGCUUGGUUUCAGCGGGUUCUGCCCGUGCAUUACCAGGUCGCGGGUCAACAUCGGUUAAGUCUGGCGGAAAAAGAUUGGGGGAAGGUGGCACCCUCGGGUGUGUUAUAGCCCCCGGUUGCAUACGCUGGAUCUGACCGAGGACUGCGGUGUGCCUUCAUGGCAGGUCUUUUGACCUUC
rnacentral:rRNA from 1 species